rnacentral:rRNA from 1 species
GACAGAGGAUGCAAGCGUUAUCCGGAAUGAUUUGGGCGUAAAGCGUCUGUAGGUGGCUUUUCAAGUCCGCCGUCAAAUCCCAGGGCUCAACCCUGGACAGGCGGUGGAAACUACCAAGCUGGAGUACGGUAGGGGCAGAGGGAAUUUCCGGUGGAGCGGUGAAAUGCACUGAGAUCGGAAAGAAACACCAACGGCGAAAGCACUCUGCUGGGCCGACACUGACACUGAGAGACGAAAGCUAGGGGAGCAAAUGGG